rnacentral:rRNA from 1 species
CCUUAACACAUGCAAGUCGAGCGGCAGCGGGAAAGUAGCUUGCUACUUUUGCCGGCGAGCGGCGGACGGGUGAGUAAUGCCUGGGGAUCUGCCCAGUCGAGGGGGAUAACAGUUGGAAACGACUGCUAAUACCGCAUACGCCCUACGGGGGAGAGGAGGGGACCUUCGGGCCUUUCGCGAUUGGAUGAACCCAGGUGGGAUUAGCUAGUUGGUGGGGUAAUGUCUCACCAAGGCGACGAUCCCUAGCUGGUCUGAGAGGAUGAUCAGCCACACUGGAACUGAGACACGGUCCAGACUCCUACGGGAGGCAGCAGUGGGGAAUAUUGCACAAUGGGGGAAACCCUGAUGCAGCCAUGCCGCGUGUGUGAAGAAGGCCUUCGGUUUGUAAAGCACUUUCAGCGAGGAGGAAAGGUUGGCGCCUAAUACGUGUCAACUGUGACGUUACUCGCAGAAGAAGCACCGGCUAACUUCCUGCCACAGCCGGCGAAUACGGAGGUGCAGCGUUAUCGAAUAC